AGUGAACGCUGGCGGUAGGCCUAACACAUGCAAGUCGAACGGCAGCACAGUAAGAGCUUGCUCUUACGGGUGGCGAGUGGCGGACGGGUGAGGAAUACAUCGGAAUCUACUUUUUCGUGGGGGAUAACGUAGGGAAACUUACGCUAAUACCGCAUACGACCUACGGGUGAAAGCAGGGGAUCUUCGGACCUUGCGCGAUUGAAUGAGCCGAUGUCGGAUUAGCUAGUUGGCGGGGUAAAGGCCCACCAAGGCGACGAUCCGUAGCUGGUCUGAGAGGAUGUUCAGCCACACUGGAACUGAGAAACGGUCCAGACUCCUACGGGAGGCAGCAGUGGGGAAUAUUGGACAAUGGGCGCAAGCCUGAUCCAGCCAUACCGCGUGGGUGAAGAAGGCCUUCGGGUUGUAAAGCCCUUUUGUUGAGAAAGAAAAGCAGCAGGUUAAUACCCCGCUGUUCUGACGGUACCCAAAGAAUAAGCACCGGCUAACUUCGUG
rnacentral:rRNA from 1 species